GAUGAACGCUGGCGGCGUGCCUAAUACAUGCAAGUCGAACGCUGGAGAUCUAGCGUGCUAGAUCGAAGGAGUGGCGAACGGGUGAGUAAUACAUAAGCAACCUACCCACGAAGACUGGGAUAAUCUCUGGAAACGGGGACUAAUACCGGAUAGGUAAUCGGAAGGCAGCUUCUGGUUAUUAAAGGUGAAAAACACUGGAGGAUGGGCUUAUGGCGCAUUAGUUAGUUGGUGAGGUAACGGCCCACCAAGACGAUGAUGCGUAGCCGGGCUGAGAGGGUGAACGGCCACGUUGGGACUGAGACACGGCCCAGACUCCUACGGGAGGCAGCAGUAGGGAAUUUUCGGCAAUGGGGGCAACCCUGACCGAGCAACGCCGCGUGAGUGAAGACGGCCUUCGGGUUGUAAAGCUCUGUUGUAAGGGAAGAACGGUAGAUAGAGAAUAUCUAAGUGACGGUACCUUACCAGAAAGCCACGGCUAACUACGCG
rnacentral:rRNA from 1 species